rnacentral:rRNA from 1 species
CCUACGUGAGGCAGCAGUGAGGAAUAUUGGUCAAUGGGCGCGAGCCUGAACCCGCCAAGUAGCGUGAAGGAUGACUGCCCUACGGGUUGUAAACUUCUUUUAUAAAGGCAUAAAGUGAGGCACGUGUGCCUUUUUGUAUGUACUUUAUGAAUAAGGAUCGGCUAACUCCGUGCCAGCAGCCGCGGUAAUACGGAGGAUCCUAGCGUUAUCCGGAUUUAUUGGGUUUAAAGGGAGCGUAGAUGGGUUGUUAAGUCAGUUGUGAAAGUUUGCGGCUCAACCGUAAAAUUGCAAUUGAUACUGGCAGUCUUGAGUACAGUUGAGGUAGGCGGAAUUCGUGGUGUAGCGGUGAAAUGCUUAGAUAUCACGAAGAACUCCGAUUGCGAAGGCAGCUUACUAAACUGCCACUGACAUUGAUGCUCGAAAGUGUGGGUAUCAAACAGGAUUAGAUACCCGAGUAGUC